AGUGAACGCUGGCGGUAGGCCUAACACAUGCAAGUCGAACGGCAGCACAGUAAGAGCUUGCUCUUACGGGUGGCGAGUGGCGGACGGGUGAGGAAUACAUCGGAAUCUACUUUUUCGUGGGGGAUAACGUAGGGAAACUUACGCUAAUACCGCAUACGACCUACGGGUGAAAGCAGGGGAUCUUCGGACCUUGCGCGAUUGAAUGAGCCGAUGUCGGAUUAGCUAGUUGGCGGGGUAAAGGCCCACCAAGGCGACGAUCCGUAGCUGGUCUGAGAGGAUGAUCAGCCACACUGGAACUGAGACACGGUCCAGACUCCUACGGGAGGCAGCAGUGGGGAAUAUUGGACAAAGGGCGCAAGCCUGAUCCAGCCAUACCGCGUGGGUGAAGAAGGCCUUCGGGUUGUAAAGCCCUUUUGAUGGGAAAGAAAAGCAGCAGGUUAAUACCCCGCUGUUCUGACGGUACCCAAAGAAUAAGCACCGGCUAACUUCGUG
rnacentral:rRNA from 1 species